rnacentral:lncRNA from 1 species
AUAAUACUUCACUUCAUAAAUAAGUAGAAAUCGCAUAACAUUGAGAUUGUAGUUAGGGAUGGAAAUCAAAAUAUGGCAUGAAUAUAACAAUUGCCACCAAUGUGCUUCAAGAAAGAACUUAUUUGUCUUUUAUUCCCAUGUUUGAACUAGUACAGGUCGAGGUUACACAUGAUGGUGCACAUCACUUUAUUUAUCAUCGUUACAUUAUGCUCCAUUUACUAACAAUGAUGAUUCACCCGUCUAGUAUUACAUCUCUUCAUUUCAUCUGCCACUGAUACUUAUAACGUCGCUCCCAGAUGGUUGUUGUUGUGGAUAUUGUUUGUAUGGGGAAGGUUCUUGUGAUUGCUGGGGUGGGUAUGGUAUUGGAAAUUGUUGUUGGGAAAAUUGUUGUGGUGGUUGCUGGGGGAAUUGUUGUUGGGGUAAUUGUUGUUGUUCGAGGUAUUUUUGUGGUUGGGAGAAUUGUUGUUGCGGUAAUUGUUGUUGUUGGGGGAAUUGUUGUUGUUGGGGGGAUUUCUGUUGGGGGAAUUAUUGUUGGGGAAAUUGUUGUUGCGGGAAUGGUUGUUUGGGGAAUUGUUGUUGCGGGAAUUGCUGUUUUUGGGGAAAUUGUUGUUAUUGGGGGGAUUGUUGCUCGGGGAAUUGUUGUNNNNNNNNNNNNNNNNNNNNNNNNNNNNNNNNNNNNNNNNNNNNNNNNNNNNNNNNNNNNNNNNNNNNNNNNNNNNNNNNNNNNNNNNNNNNNNNNNNNNNNNNNNNNNNNNNNNNNNNNNNNNNNNNNNNNNNNNNNNNNNNNNNNNNNNNNNNNNNNNNNNNNNNNNNNNNNNNNNNNNNNNNNNNNNNNNNNNNNNNNNNNNNNNNNNNNNNNNNNNNNNNNNNNNNNNNNNNNNNNNNNNNNNNNNNNNNNNNNNNNNNNNNNNNNNNNNNNNNNNNNNNNNNNNNNNNNNNNNNNNNNNNNNNNNNNNNNNNNNNNNNNNNNNNNNNNNNNNNNNNNNNNNNNNNNNNNNNNNNNNNNNNNNNNNNNNNNNNNNNNNNNNNNNNNNNNNNNNNNNNNNNNNNNNNNNNNNNNNNNNNNNNNNNNNNNNNNNNNNNNNNNNNNNNNNNNNNNNNNNNNNNNNNNNNNNNNNNNNNNNNNNNNNNNNNNNNNNNNNNNNNNNNNNNNNNNNNNNNNNNNNNNNNNNNNNNNNNNNNNNNNNNNNNNNNNNNNNNNNNNNNNNNNNNNNNNNUCUAUUGUGGGAAUUGCUAUUGGGGAAAUUGUUGUUGGGGGAAUUGUUGUUGUUGCGGGAAUUGCUGCUGUUGAGGGAAUUGUUGCUGGGGGAGUUAUUGUGGUUGGGGGAUUUGUUGUUGGGGGAAUUGUUGUGAUUGCUGGGGGGAUUUGAUGUUGUUGGGGGAGUUGUUGUUGGGGGAUUUGUUGUGGUUGAGGGAAUUGUUGUGGUUGGGGGAAUUGUUGUUGUUGUGUAUGCAAUUCCUUGCCUAUAGGGCUUAGUUGCCUAGUGGCACUGGCGUUGUUCAUUGUCAUGGCAAGGAGGACAAAUAUGAUGAAGGUCUUCAUGUUUGAUUUGUAUUUACUAUUGCUCACUUGUCUUUGAUGUUUUAGCUCCAGGUGCUUGAAGGUUGGAUGAUGGAAGAGACCCACAUGGUGUAGUAGCAUUUAUAGCUGGCAUCGCACAUUUUCUUUUCAUCUUCACACUCUUUUCUUGAAAAAGUGCUCUUAAGCUUAUCGACCUCAUAAUUUGGUAUGUUGUGUUUGAUGGCACUACAUACUAGCGUGAUUUUGGAUUGUUCAUCAUAGCUGAUUGUUCUUGCUCAUAUCAUCUCGGUGUAUCAAAUGCUUGAUAACGACGAAUGACUCAUCGUAUUCACUUUACACUUCAAACAUUGAUCUAGAUUUUAUCCAUCUUUCUGAUUUAGCUUGUGAUGUUCUGCAUGUUGUUAGGUGUAUCCAGAUUGGCAUAACUUAAGGGAACUAAGUUUGUAAUCUUCACACUCGCUUCUUGAAAAAGUGUUCUUAAGCUUAUCAAUUACCUAAUAAUUUGGUAUGUUGUGUUUCAUGGCACUACUUACUAGUGUGAUUUUGGAUUGUUCUUCAUAAUUGAUUGUUCUUGCACAUAUCAUCUAGGUGUAUGGAAUGCUUGAUAACGACAAAUGACUCAACGUAUUCACUUGACACUUCAAACAUUGAUCUAGAUUAUGUCCCUCGCUCCAAUUUAGUUUGUCAUGUUCUACAUGUUGAUAGGCGUAUCCUGAUUGGCAUACUUAAGGGAACAAAGUUUGUAAUCUUGUGUGAGUCCUUGAGAUAGAUCACACUAUUAAUGUGAAGAUUGUUCUAGACACUAUUUUUUCUGAACUAACUUUAUAUAUUUUGCACAAUAUAUUUGUAUGAUGGAUAAGCAUCCAUGAAUCAUCAUACUACCUUUUCGUAUGGAGCGGUUGUAUUGUCAUAUGAGUUACUAAUACAAAAACAAUUAUUAGGGCUUUGCGCAGCUUGAUUGAUUCACUCCACAUAGACAUGAACAUUUCUUUUGUAUUUCAUUCGUUAGUUAAUCUAAGUUUUUACAUAUUGUUUCAAAUUGUUCAGAUAGUUUCGUGGUUUCUUUUAUUGAAUUUAUAACCACCAGUAUAGGAAGCUAUUAGUACUAUGAUUGUUGAUACUGAUGCAGAACAAAAAGGGAAGAGAAAGCGAUAAACAGUUGAUUUUGUCUGGUAAUUAUAUAAGUGUCUUUUUUUCUAUUUUCUUGUAAGCAUGGAACGUACAAAAAAGAAAUGAAAUUAGUUCUCCUUCUACACGAUACGUGAAUAAACUAAUUUAGGACCUAUCAUGGCUAACUAAAUGGGAAGCAGCCUGUCGCCAUCAUGCAGCAAAAACAAGCCAUAAUGCCGUACACUUGGCUCAUGCAACAUGCACACGUGAACAAAAGAAGAGCCUAGCUAUUGGUAUAUUUAAAUUUGUUUUCCUUCUCUUAUCCUUGGCGAUAUCAUUCAUACAUAUGUUUGCACCAAAUUAAUUGACUUGUCAAUGUCAUGGACCAGCUAGCAUACUGCUGGUUUUGUUUGUGUGGCUUUAGGUUUUGCGAAUCCUCUACAUAUGUUUUUUUUCAUUCUUUUGCCUUCUACCACUUAUUUUCAGAUUGAUGGAAAGCGAAGUUUCUGAAACAUGGUUACCGAAAAAGGCUUUCGGCCUGCUUUCUGAAACAUGAUUACAUCCUCCUCCAUGCAGCUUUGUGGAGGCUAAUUAUAAUUGGAACUCCUAUUAAUCACACUGGAUGUCAUGCCAGAUUCAUGCAAAAUUUGCCGGAUCGAUUGACCAGGAUUUGACCCUUGGAUUUUUAAUCAUUUACUCCCUCCGUCCGGAAAUACUUGACAUUGAAAUCGAUAAAAAGAGAUGUAUCUAGAACUAAAAUACGUCUAGAUGCAUCCCCUUUUUUCCAUUUUGAUGACAAGUAUUUGCGGAAGGAGUGAGUACGUAGUAAUUUUUGUUGUACAUGGAUUAGUCAAGGUAUAGUCGAUCCACCAUCAUCACUGUGAAUCAGUAUUAUGGAGUCAGAACAUGUCUUUGUCAGAGAACGAAGUAGGAGUAACAAAUGAGACAGGAAAAAGCAAAAGAGACCUCACUCUCACACACUCACUAUCCACCUGCCUCAUGUUAAUGUUGUGUUGAAAUACCUAACUAGCUAGCUAGCAUAUCAUAGGUUGUCCUUCUCUAAAAAAACUAUAGAAAGUUCUUUGCAUGUAGUUAAUUAAGCAAGUGUAAUUUUAAAAGAAAAACUAUUCUGAAGUUGUUGGUCUGUUUGCUGUUGCUAUUGUUUUUGUUGUUCUCGAUACAGGAUUUCGCACUGUUUAUAAAUAAAGCAACAUCCAAAGAUGUACAAGGCCAACUGAUACAAUAUGGUGAGGUAGCCCUUACAAAGCCGAUCUUGAGAUAUCGGACACAAGGAAAAAGCACGCGACUACGCUGCCAGCAACAAGCACCGGAAGAACUAAACAUCCUCACGCUACGAACUAGCACACCAAAGCUCCACGAGAACGCCCCCAAGAGGGAGAACAGCAUAGAGCGUCGCCGCUUCCAAGUCCAUACCGGACAAAGGUCUACACCCGGAGCCCUGACACUGAGAUAAGAAGCACAACGACGUCUUCAAGAAGAGUGUGGCACCCAUGAGUGUCGUCGGCAGCGGCGCCCAGGCAUAGAGCUUUCGCUAGGUAACUCACCUGUGCCACCAUGAGGUCCUCAAGAGUAGCGCCGCGAUGUUCGAUCCCCAGAUCUUGAUUAGGAUGCUGCCCCUCCGAGAGAGAGGGCACGUCUGAGCUACUAACCGCAAUACCUACCGUUGCCCACACAACCCGGGAGGGGAGCCACCAUCACCGGAAUAAUGCCCGCCAAAGAGCAACCAUGCGGCCCGCCAUCAGGGGCCGCCAACCCAGUAUCCCUGUCGCGAGAUACCAUACGCCACUCACAUCACAUAGCAACCAACCACGGUAAGAAGAGCGACAAGACUCCAUCUACUCCUAGCCUAGCCUCUGUCCCAAUGUUUGGUUAUGCGCCUCCACCGUAGGACGCACCCAUACAUGCAUCCCCAGCCAAUGCUCUGUGGACUAGGGGGGCCACUGGCAAGCCAGCCUCGAGCCCCUGGUUAGGCGAUCUCACACGACGCCAUGUUCGUGUUCUCCGACACUGAUCCGCUCAUGAAUGCAACGCUAACACAACCAUCACCACCGAUCACCACCCAAGCUGGCUCACUUCACAAUGCACACAUCAUGGUAGGUAAAGCCUGACAUCAGUCACCUAGCCAGUGACUGCCGACGGCCAUCAUCGAGGCCAGCUCAGACGCCAAGUCUGCGAACUGAGGAACUGGUCCGCAAGCCGGCAUAAUGUAUCCCUGACAACCACAGCCAUGAACCAUCACCGACGCUACAACGUGUGGAGGUGCCUCCCCCAACCUAGCUUCAAGCAUCCAGCUUGGCUUGAUCGGCAGUGACCUAGAGCCAAGAAACACUACUCCAUGACGACUAAGCAUCGAACCUCAUGUGAUGAGAAACCAACCCUGACAAGGACGACCAUAUCAAAAUCCAUGCCCGGUAGCUAGUCUGCCGACGUACGCACCCAGACAAGGCGGGCGCCGCCCCAUCAAGAGGGGNNNNNNNNNNNNNNNNNNNNNNNNNNNNNNNNNNNNNNNNNNNNNNNNNNNNNNNNNNNNNNNNNNNNNNNNNNNNNNNNNNNNNNNNNNNNNNNNNNNNNNNNNNNNNNNNNNNNNNNNNNNNNNNNNNNNNNNNNNNNNNNNNNNNNNNNNNNNNNNNNNNNNNNNNNNNNNNNNNNNNNNNNNNNNNNNNNNNNNNNNNNNNNNNNNNNNNNNNNNNNNNNNNNNNNNNNNNNNNNNNNNNNNNNNNNNNNNNNNNNNNNNNNNNNNNNNNNNNNNNNNNNNNNNNNNNNNNNNNNCAACUCCGGUCACUGGGCAGCUGCACCAAUGCCAACCCCGCCUCUCCAUUGACACCCCCCGCCUAGAUCCACCGCUGCCAGCCAAAACCAUGGCCACCACCCACCGCCCCUUGUCAUGCCUCCACGCGCGUGAGAGGGACUGUCGAAACCCACCAUCGCCAGCUGUCACACUCAGCAGAGAGAGAACCGCCACCAUCACCCGGUGCCGCUUGUCACAACCUGGCAGCCAGAUCCACACUGCCACAACCAUCACAAGCCCGCCUACACAGUAGGAUUUGCUAGCUUUUACAAUGUCUGCACAAUUCUUCUUUCCUGUUUUCUCCAAGAUGUUGUUUUUGAAAUUUGCGUGCAGGUUUAAGGAAAGGAGGAGAUCACUAUCACCACCACCUCGUGGAAGGGGACGUCAGCAUUAGUCAUCUUUACCAUCAUCCAUCGCCAUCCCAUUGUAAUACCAAACCCUUCUGGAUCCAUACAUGUAUUAUCUGUGUGUUUCAUACAUGUUUACCACCACUGUUUCCACUAUUCGCACGAUGUUUGUCGUCUCCAUGUGUGAUUUGUUUCCUCAGUUCUCAGGGAUAUGUACGAACCAUGGUAUUAUAGGAGCUGAAAUGUUAAUUAGGGAAUGGGAUUCUCUAUGUUUAUUUUAAAAGAAUUCAUGAAUUUUGUGAAGGGGCCCCACUGAUCAUUUCCAUCGCGAGGCCACGAGGCAUAUUAUCGAGGUUGUAAAGUUUAGGAUGUUGAGGUCACUUGAGGUGAGAGUAAAAGACUCUCUACCUCACCUUUGCAACUGAUAGGGGCAUAAUAGAGAGCCCUCGAUAAGGCAACUUCCAUGGGGAAACCCUUAAUUACCGUAGUGAGAACUAGAGUGGGGAAGCUACAGUGAUGGCCUGCGGGGUAUGAAGUACACCUCGAGUAGAACAUAUUUUGCACCCGGAUAUGCCCAAUGAAAAAUAUUAAGAGUGACUCAAGUAUCUAGCUAAGAAUUGUGAAGUGGCAUAUGAUACCUUAGACACACUGCAAUGGGAAUUAUGGUGUCCCUGAGAACGUUUCAAUCCUCCACCGUUUAACAUCUUUAUUCGUUCUGCUAUGCUCUUUUAGUUCUUUUGCUAUAUUUACUUUUGUUCGCACUAAACUUAGAAGUCAAUAUAAUCUUCGCCGUUCACUUUUCUUUGUGUCGAAAACUAAGAUGCAGGCACAUUACAAUAAGUGUCUCUUACGGACAAAGUCCAAUUCAUGUAUUCCCUGUGGGAUUUAUACUCAUACUUAAAUAGGUGGAAAAAAACCAUGUGCACUUGCAGAUCAUCAAGCUUUUUCUGGCCCUAGGUGCGGAGUGCUUUUGGGCCUGUAUUACGUUUUAUUUUAUUUUGUGUUUAUGGGUGAUAAUGUGCGCCUCCACAAAUUGUUGUUUGACCGCGGCAAUGGUGGACUCCCUACGUAGGUGUGUAUCGAGUGGAGGGUUGAGGAAGCCCAUUAUGAUUUCAGUUGAUCGUAUGCAAAUUAAGAUUUUUGACUCAAGUUGAGGGGGUCAUUUUCCUUCAAAUUUAGAACCUUGUUUGAUGGGUCAUGAUUUGUGAGAGGAUACUUUUUGUCCUGCUAAGAUUGUUAUUGGAGAUAAUUGGUAGUUAAACUCAUUUUGUGAGUGGAACAUCAAAGGCGAAAAGUGCAUAAGUAAUCAAUUAUUCUCACUAUAAAUGAACAAUGAAAUCUGGGAUGGAGUUUGUCGAAAACAGAAACACCUAGUUUGAUUUAGAUCCAUGUCAGAUAAGAUGGUUGCAAACUCAUGUGGCUCACCAUUGAAGUGUUAAAUUGCAAUUACUCCUUACUUCCUAAUUAAUAGUACUUCAAUUUGAACCAAGUUUCACACACGUGAAGUAUGUUAUAUUGUUCAUAAUACUACACUUUAUAAAUAAGUAGAUAGCGCAUAACAUUGAGGUUGUAGCUAGGGAUGAAAAUCGAAAUAUGGCAUGAAUGUAACAAUUGCCAGCAAUAUGCUUUAGAAAAGAAGUUAUUUGUCUUUUAUUCCCAUGUUUGAACUAGUAUAGGCCGGGGUUACACAUGAUGGUCACAUCACUUUAUUUAUGAUUGUUACAUUAAAUGCUCCAUUGACUAACAACGAUGAUUCACCCGUCUCGUAUUACAUCUCUUCAUUUCAGUCCACCGAUACUUAUAACGUCGCUCCCAGUUGGUUGUUGGUGUGGGGAAGGUUGUUAUGAUUGCUCGGGGAAUGGUUGCUGGUGUGGGUAUGGUAUGGGAAAUUGUUGUUCGAGAAUUGUUGUUUCUGUUGCUAGGGAAAUCAUUGUUGUUGCGAUAAGUAUAUGUUCUUCCAUGAUCUAGAAAAUAAAAGACCUUGCUCUUACCGUCUCUGCAUGUCUGUCAUCAAACAUCAGUAAACUUGUUAAAAUUAAGUGAAAUGGUUCAACUUUUGGAUUACAGUUCUUGACGCCUUGAAGCGAAUUUGAUGAGUCGGGUCACUCUACGAAUUUCACUUCGUCUUAUCACUUUAGAAAACACAACAAAGUUGUUUCCAGAAAAAAAAAUCCAUGUGCAAAGCUUUACUAAUUAUCUUGUACAAACUUCAUAUACUUAGCUCUACACAAACUGUAGAAAGUUCCAAACCUCUGCCGCAAAAAAGAAUGAAACCUUGAUAAGGAUUUGACAUGUAAAGUGAAAAAGGUGAGUCAGUUUUUCCUCAAAAUAAAAUACCAAGCACCAUGCUUUCGUGACAAAUAUACGAUCUUUUGCACAGCUGACCAAACAUCUUUUGAUGAUCAAUACUAUAUUAAACUUGUGGCUAGUGCAACUUGAAAGAAUAUACAAAAUGAUCCAUUUCACAAGCAUGCAUGCAAAAAAAUUGGAAAAUGAAUGAAAAAAUUAACCUCUAGCUGGAAUUUUAUUCAAUCAUCCCAUCAAAGCUGGUACAACAACACUGACUGCAAGAUGUCCACAACCCAACACGUCCAAAACAAAAAUAGAAAAAAAAUGCAAAGACGGCAAGAGGUUAUGCCAUAAAUGGACUUGUGCCGCAUACUCAUCACAAGUACAAAACACAAAUAGAAACAUCAAAGACAUGUAGCAGUAGUCAAGAGAAAUUCACCAUAAAGACACAUCCCCAUCCUUUCCCUUACCGCCAUUGCACCGGCUAGCGCCAAUGAACAUCUCGAUGGCAGCAGGAUCAAUGCCAGUGAAAGGGUUUCACUGACUUCAUCUUGCUGAGGAAGUCCAUGAAAGGAAUCGACAUGAAAGAAAGUGUUUAGUUAGUUCAAAUAUGGAUAUAUAUCCUUAGAGCAUCCUAAUGAAUGAGAAAACCUAUCUUAGUCAUUCAUCAACAAAAGCCAUGUCAAUGCGCUUGGAUGGAUCACACAUUCAGGAACAAAAGGCCAAGGGGGUGACAUAUAUAUACAGUUUAUUUGCUUGGUAACUUUGGUUUAGCACUGUCUUUUUUCCUUAUCCUUGUCCAUUUUAUCCGUGCAGAAAAGAGCCAAACGAGGAAGCAAAGGGAAGUGUUUGAUUAGUUCUCCAUGAAACAAGAAUAAAUGAAUUUCGGACAAAGUAUGGUUGAGCUACGAAAUCCAAAGAUCAACCUAACUGAAUCGGGAAACCUGUCUCCAUCAUGCAGCAGACAAAAGCCAUACUGCUGAUACACUUGGCCCAUGCAACAUGCAUGCAUGAUCAUAAGGAGAACAACCAUUAUUCUCUAAUUUAAACGAUUAUCCGCCUCGCAGUAAACAAGGUCCAGAUAUAAUGUUCAUGCUCAACGCAGGCACUAAAUAACAAUUAUUCAGGUUCAUCACUAAUCCUGAUGGUAAUCGAAGAACGAGCGUGUCGAUGGCGAUAACAUCAACCUUGGAACCAUUUCCCACACGCAUCGUCAUUUCGUUCUUCGCCAGCCUCUGUCUAUUUCGUGGGUCCUGCUUUGUGUUGCAAAUGUGAGCAACCGAACCGGUAUCAAAUACCGAGGCACUACAAGAAGAGUUGGUAAGGUACACAUCGAUAACAUAUAUAUCAUAUAUAUCUUGUUUGGCGUUGGCCCCUUCUUGUCGGCCAGGCUUGGGGCAAUUCCGCUUCCACUGGCUAGUCUCGUUGCAAUAGAAGGACUCAACUUCCAACUUGGGCCCAGCCUUUGGUUUAUUCAAGGGAGGGUCAACUACUUUGCCACUCUUCUUGGAGUUACCAUUCUUUCCCUAGCCAUUCUUCUUGAAACUAGUGGUUUUAUUGACCAUCAACACUUGAUGCUCUUUCUGGAUGUCUAACUCAGCGACUUUCAGCAUCGCAAACAGCUCGGAGACUGACUUGUUCAUCCCUUGCAUGUUAUAGUUUAGCACAAAGCUCUUGUAGCUAGGUGGUAGUGAUUGAAGAACUUUGUCAGUGAUCGCUUCUGGUGGGAGCACAACUCCCAACUCAGCCAGACGGUUGUAAUACCCAGACAUUCUAAGUAUGUGUUCACUGACAGACCCGUUCUCCUCCAUCUUGCAAGCAAAGAACUUAUCAGAGGUCUCAUACCUCUCGAUCCGGGCAUUCCUUUCAAAAAAGAACAUCAACUCCUGGAACAUCUCAUAUGCCCCAUGACGUUCAAAACGUCUUUGAAGUCCCAGUUCUAAGCCAUACAACAUAGCACACUGAACUACUAAGUAGUCAUCCACAUGCACUUGACAGGCGUUCAUAACAUCCAUAGACGCCGGAGGGGGUUGCACACCAAGCGAUGCAUCAAGGACAUAAGCCUUUUGGGAAGCCGUGAGGAUAAUCGUCAGAUUACAGGCCCUGUCUACAAAGAUACUUCCAUCAUCUUUCAGCUCGGCUUUCUCUAGGAACGCAUUGAAAUUCAGGGAAGCUAUUGUGCGAGCCAUUGAUGUACAACAUAAAUUUGCAAAGUUAACUUAGACUAUUGUUCAUGAUAAAUGAGUUCAAAUAAUCAUAUUACUUAAACGACCCACUCAAAUUGACAUCCCUCUGGCCAUCCGAGUGUAAUAUGAUGCAAAUUCAUCAACCCAAGUCCGAUCAUCAUGUGAGAUGAGGUGGUUUCAAUGGUGAACAUCUCCAUGUUGAUCGUAUCUACUAUAUGGCUCAUGUUCGACCUUUCGGUCUCUUGUGUCCCGAGGCCAUGUCUGUACAUGCUAGGUUGGUCCAGUUUAACCCAAGUGUUUUGCAUGUGCAAAACUGGCUUGCACCCGUUGUAUGCGAAUGUAGAGUCUAUCACACCCUAUCAUCACAUGGUGCUUCGAAACGACAAUCUUUAGCAAUAGUGCACACUCGGGAGAACACAAUUUUAUCUUGAAAUUUUAGUGAGGGAUAACCUUAUAAUGCUACCAUCAUCAUAAGCAAAAUAAGAUGCAUAAAAGGAUUAACAUCACAUGCAAAUCAUAAGUAACAUGAUAUGACCACCAACUUGUCCUUUUUAUCUCCAUCUCCAAAGCACCGGCAUGAUCUCCAUCGUCACCGACAUCACACCAUGAUUUCCAUCAUCAUGAUAUCCAUCAUCAUGUUGCCAUCGAUGUUGUCACGCCAACCAUGCUUCUACUACUAUUUCUACCGUUUAGUGAUAAAGUAAAGCAUUACAUAGCGCUUAAUGAUUGACACACAGGUCAUACAAUAAUUUAAGACAACCCUAUGGCUCCUGCCGGUUGUCGUAUUCAUCGACAUGCAAGUCAACACAAACUAUUACAAGCAUGAUCAUCUCAUACAUCAAAUAUGUUCUAUCAUGUCUUUGGCCAUAUCACAUCACAACAUACCCUGCAAAAACAAGUUAGAUGUCGUCUAAUUUGUUGUUGCAUGUUAUACAUGGCUGCUAUGUGUAUCUAACAAGAAUGGUUCUUACCUAUGCCAAACCACAACGGUGAUAUGGAAGUUGCUAUUUAACCUUCUACAAGGACUGCCUUCAUCGAAUUCGAUUCAACUAAGGUGCGAGAGACAGACAUCAGCCAGCCAUCUUAUGCAACAAAGUCACAUGUCUGUCGAAUGAACCGGUCUCAUGUACGUGGACAUGUAAAGUUGGUCCGGGCCGCUUCAUCCCACAAUGCCGCUAAAUCAAGAAAAGACCAAGGAAGGAAGCAAUCUGAAUAUCAACACCGAUAAACUCCUUUGUGUUCUACUCGUGAUGUCAUCUGCUCAUAGACCUAGCUCUGGUACCACUGUUGUUGAACGUUGCAUGGGAAACAAAAAAAAUUCCUACACUCACCAAGAUCAAUCUAGGAGAUGAACAUCUACGAGAGGAGUGAUUGCAUCUACAUACCCUUGUAGAUCACUAACACUACAGGAAACAGGUAAUUUGCCGUCCGUGGAUCACAGACGGCAAAGACGUAAAUCCAGACGGCAAAGAGUUUGCCGUCAGGAAGUAGACGGCAAAGUCAGACGGCAAAGAUAAAUCGGCAAAGAAUACUCUGCCGUCUGCUAUUUUUUCUAGAUGACGGCAAAAACUUUGCCGACAGUCUAUACUGUUUGCCGUCAGCCAGCAAAAUCAAACGACAAAAAAUGGCAACAGACGGAACGGACGGACUGACGAACGGCGUUAGUGCUUUGCUGUCAGCCAGAAUCCAUCUUUGCCGUCAUCCUCAAAAAUCACAAACGGCAAAUAAUUUUUUUAUUUAAAAAAUGUAUUGUACAAAUAAUUGCACAGGCGACCAGGAACAAACUGAUGAAGAACUUCACAGUAUCCAUCAACACUGCUGUUCUAAGAAUCAAAUACGAACGAACGGAUUUCACAAGACAAAACAAAACUACUCUAUUUAACAAGAUAAAUGGAUUACACACGAACAGACUACACUAUGUUACAAUAGAUCAGUUGGAUCUAUACACCCACGCCUCGCUGGAGCAGCAGUUGCGCCUCUCUCCCUUCUCCUUCCUUUCAUCCUGCAUAUGAAGUUAAGAACACACAAACGUCCGAGGAGGCCAAGACGUCAGCUGCCGUGCCGGAGCUCGCCACCCUCAUCCGGGCGCUGGAUCCACUUGACCCCGCCAACUCUGUCAGCGCCAAGCCCCGCCGCCGGCAAAGGAGAGUAGAGGAGGCGGGGGCCCGUGGCGUGCGAAGGCGGGGGAGAAGGAGAGUACUCGGAGGCGGGCGGCUGCUGGUACUCGGAGGCGGGCGGCGUGUGAAGCCAGGCCUCGCGGAUGGGGAGGUGGGGCUGACCGGGCGGCGGCCGUUAGGCGGGGCCAGUUGGCGCAGGGUCGUCGAUGAGGAGGUGGGGCCGACAAGGCGGCGGCGGCGAGGCAGGGCCAUGCAGCGCGGGGUCGCGGAUGGGGAGGCGGGGCCGACCGGGCGGCGGCGGCGAGGCAAGACCAAUCGGCGGCGAUGCAGCACCGAUAGCAGAGAAGACGAGAUCGAGGGGGAGAGAUGGUGUCGGAGUGGGGGAGAGGUGGGUUCGAUGGAUGGGUGGGUGGGGGCAUGGGGAUAAGGUACAUGGGGAUGUGGUGGGAUGGGUGGGUGGGGUCGGGCGUGGUAGAUGGAAAGAGAGGCACCGCAGGUCAGAUCGUGCCAUGUCAUCGAUCCGUGGAUGGAUCCGCGAGGUGUGCUUCUUUGCUUUGCCAUCUGCAAAUACAAACUACAGACGGCAAAAUUCUUUGUCGUGUGCCUUUUUUAUUACAGACGGCAAAAUAUGAUCUUUGUCGUUUGUGUUUAUUUGUACAGACGGCAAAGACAUAUUUUGCAGUCUGUAAUAAAAAACACAGACGACAAAGAUCUUUGCCGUCUAUAGUUUGUUUUGUAGAUGGAAAAGUGAGCUCUUUGCCGUCUAAUUUUUUUCUACAAACGACAAAGUAUAUUUUGCCGAUAGUUUCUCUUUGUUGUCUGUUGAUGACGGCAAACCCUUUCUUUGCCGUGUGCCCCGAAAAAAUGCUGAUGGCAAAGACAAUACUGACGGCAAAUCUCCUGUUUCCCGUAGUGUAAUAGGAAGCGCUAAGAAACAUGGUUGAUGUAGUCAAACAUCUUCACGAUCCAAUCACGAUCCGUCCCACAAACUCCCGAUCUAGUGCCAAAUGGACGGCACCACUGCAUUCAACACGCGCACGACUUGAUGAUGCCUUCACCUCCUCGAUCCAGUGAGCAAUAGAGAAGUAGUAGUUUGAGUAGUCCGAUAGCAUGACAGCGUGGCGGCGGUGGUGGUGAAGGAAUUUCAGCAGAGCUUCGCUAAGCACUACGCGGAAGGAGAAGGACUACGAGGGAGAGGACAGACAGCGCCACGACACAGAUGGGUGUGUCUGCCCUACCUCUACCCCUACAUAUAUAGGGGAAAGCGAGGAGGUGGGAAUGCCCUAUGGGUUCCCUUAGGGGGCACGCCGGCCACCACAGAUGGUGGCGCCCCUAGGGAAACCCGAGGGUGGCUUGCCCCCCAAGCUAGGUGGAGGCAUCCCUAGGGGGUUGCCCCAACCCUUGUGUCAUCAUGGGAUUGGGUGUGGGGGCGCACAACCCCUUAGUGGGCUGGUGUGCUCCCUCCCCUUGGCCCAUGAGGCCCCCCAACACUUAUUGGGGCACCCUGAAACCCAUGUCCGUACUCCGUUGCUUCCAUCGGUACCCCUGGAACAAUUUCAGACUCCGAUACCCUUCGUCCUAUAUAUCAAUCUUCACCUCCAGACCAUUCUGGAGUUCCUCGUCAUGUUGGGGAUCUCAUACGGGACUCCGAACAACCUUCGGUAACCACCAUAAUGACUCAACUAUACUUAUAUCGUCACCAAACAUUAAGUGUGUAGACCCUCCGAGUUCGAGAACUAUGCAGACAUGACCGAGACACCUCUAUGGUCAAUGACCAAUAGCAUGACCUGGAUGCCCAUAUUGGUUCCUACAUAUUGUACGAAGAUCUUUAUUAGUCGAACCUCGAUGUCAAGGAUUCAGUCAAUCCCGUAUGGAGUUCCCUUUAUCCAUCGGUAUGUUAUUUGCCUGAGAUUCGAUCGUCGGUAUAUCCAUACCUAGUUCAAUCUGGUUACCGGCAAGUCUCUUUAUUCCGUAAUACAAGAUCCCGUGCCUAACUUCUUAGUCAUGUUUCUUGCAAGCUUAUUGUGAUGUUGUAUUACCAAGUGGGCCCUAAGAUACCUAUCCAUCAUAUGGAGUGAGAAAUCCCAGUCUCGAUCCAUGCCAACUGAACAGACACCCUUGGAGACACCUGUAGAGCAUCUUUAUAGUCACUUAGUUACAUUGCAACGUUUGAUACACACAAGGUACUCCUCCGGUGUAAGUGAGUUGUAUGAUCUCUUGGUCAUAGGAAUGGAUACUUGACAUGCAGAAUGAUAGCAAUAAACUUGACACGAUCAUAUGCUACAUUCAUAGUUUGGGUCUUGUCAAUCACAUCAUUCUCCUAAUGAUGUUAUCAUGUUAUCAAAUGACAACUCAUGUCCAUGUCCCGGAAACCAUGGCCAUCUUUGAUAACCGAGCUAGUCUGGUAGAGGCUCACUAUGGACACGUUGUUUGCCUAUGUACCCACACAUGUAUUUGAGUUUCCAAUCAAUACAAUUAUAGCAUGGAUAAUAAAUGAUUAUCAUGAACAAGGAAAUAUAAUAAUAACCAUUUUAUUAUUGCUUCCAGGGCGUAUUUCCAACACUUUCGAUGAUUUGUGAGUAGUUUACGACAACCCUUCGAGUCUAUAGCUAGAAUCUAGAUGGCUUCUUCUCUCUCUUUGAUCUUCAAUCCAAAGUUCUUCUCAAUGUUCUUGGAGUUCUAUCCAAUGUAAUCUUCUUUUGCGGUGUGUUUGCUGGGAUCUGAUAAAUUAUGAGAUUAUGAUCAGAUGAUUCAUGAGAAUAUUUGAGUCUUCUCUGAACUCUUUUAUGCGUGAUUAUUUUAGCUUUGUAUUUCUCUCCAAUCUAUCGAUUUGGUUUGGCCAACUAGAUUUGUUUAUCUUGCAAUGGGAGAGGUGCUUUGUGAUUGGUUAAAUCCUGUGUUGCUCAAUCCUAGUGACAGAAACGGACAUGGCACAUAUUUGUAUUGUUGACAUUAAGGAUAAAAAGAUGGGGGUUAAUCAUAUUGCUUGAAUUUACUUUGUCUACAUCAUGUCAUCUUGCUUAAGGCAUAACUCUAUUUUAUACCUAAAACUCUAGAUGCAUGCUGUAUAGCAGUCGAUGAGUGAAGUAUAGUAAUAGAUCACUACAAAAAAAGACACUUUUGGGCCGAUCAAAUUUUUUUUGUGUCAUACAUAUGACACUUCUAUGACGAUAAUUGUGACAAAACCCGGUAUCAUCAUAGAUGGUGGGCUCCUACUUCUAUGACAAAAAAUCAUGACAGCAAAUGGGCUUUUCAUCCUGGGCGGCCGGAGACGCAGCUACAUGACAUUCUUUGGGCCGUCCAUGACGGAAAAAACCAUGGUAGAAGCGAGGGCGGGGAAAAAUUCGGGGAGUUCCCGGUUACGGUGGGAGGUCGGAGGCCGAGCGAUGUGCGUUUCUCUUGUACACGUAUGCGCAUGUGUGCGAGGGGUUGGCUCUAACUGAACCCGAGCGAGGCGUUGGCUCUAACUGAACCCGAGCGAUUGCACUACAAGCUACACUUUACUGAACCCGAGGGAUCGAUCGAUGGUUGUUAACUGAACCCGACCGAGCGAUUGCUUCACUACUGCUGCUAACUGAAGUCGAUCGAUUGGAUGAACAGUGAGUGUUGCAGGGGGGGUGGAUGAACAGUGAGCGGUGGUGUUGCCUUUGGAUGAACAGGACCCCGUUGUGUGGAGGGCUGGAUGAACAAUAGACGAUGGAGGGGUGCCCAUGGAGGGGUGGAUGAACAGGACCCCAUGGUGUGGAGGGCUGGAUGUACAGUAGACGGUGGAGGGGUACCCGUGGAGGGGUGGAUGAAUAGGACCCCGUGGUGUGGAGGGCUGGAUGAACAGUAGAUGGUGGAGGGGUGACCGUGGAGGGGUGGUGGAACAGUAGCCGGUGGAGUAGCGCACGGUGGAGGCUGGAUGAACAGGAGCCCGUGGAGGCCGGAGGAGGUCGACGGUAGCCCGUGGAGGCUGGAGGAGGUCGACGGUGGAGAUGACCAGUAUCCCGUGGAGUCCCAUUUUGCGGUACGCCACACCCCUCCCGAUGAACAGGAUCCCCUUUUCUACUGUAGCGCUCCAACACAAGUCUAUUUUGUCCGUUUUGCGAUACGCCACAACCCUCCCGAUCAACAGGACCCCCGUUUCGACCUUAGGAGGUUCAUUUCCUCCGUUUUGCGGUACGCCACACCCCUCCCGAUCAAUAGGACCCCCGUUUUAACCAUAGGAGGUCCGUUUCCUCCGUUUUGCGGUACGCCAGACCCCUCCCGAUGAACAAGAUCUCGUUUCGAACGUGUCCGGUCGAACACAAGGCCGUUUCCAUCGUUCUGCGGUAUGCCAGGCCUCGUUUCCAUCUCCUGUUCCGUCCAAGCCCUCUCGAUGAACACGACCACACAUUCCGUUCUGACCGAGCUGGUGGGCUCCCUAUGAACACGAUGACGACGCUAUUUCUCCGUUCCGACCCAGCCAAUGUACACGAGCCCUGGACGUACGUAUAUAUGCGCGAGUAGGCAUUCGAGACCCCGCCCGUAUGUACACAUACGUGGCCGUAUUUUAUUUCUUACACCCCGGCCGCUGUACGUACGUGUACAUGCUAUGUGCGCGCCUCUACUACGACACGUGCGCGCCUCUACAUCCACCAAUAUAUAUGUACAUACACAUUCGCGACCAGAAUGACAAUGCUACAUACGCUUUGACCAGGUGGGUCCGGACUGUCAGGCACUUCCUUGCGUGCAAAGAUGUAGCUGGUGGGUCCCAACAGUCAGGGGGAAACAUUUUUUCGUGAAAUACGGUGGCCUGUCCGGUGGGUCCUUGCUGUCAGGUGGAGGAAUAAUUAUUUUGCACUUAAUAAGGAGGCACUUCCUUGCUGCGGCCGUGGACCCAGCUGUCAGCCUCUCCACGUACAGUUCACGUCCGAUGGAAGCCGUUCCUUGACCAUGUUGACCACGCCGCGCCGAGAGCACCAGGGCGGUGGACGACGGCGAGGCCUAGGAAGGGGACGACGCGGAGCCGGGGAAGACGCGGCAGUGGAUGCCCACGCGUAGAGAAGUAUGAGGGUUCACUCGUUCGCUGCGGUGUGAGGUUGCCGUCGCCGCAGAAUAACAGGGGGUGUGGGUGAGUAGAGGGAUGGCCUGGCCAGCAGUGGGAGUAGUAGGGGGCGGUGAGGCAUCCGCGGCAUCACAGCCGGCCACGGGAGGCAGGAGCAUGCGGCACGACCGACGCUGCUUUGGGCGGCUGGAGCACGAAGACCAGAGGUUGAAGAAGCACUACGACCGUUGGAUGGACAUCGUACGGUCACUGGAGCUAGAAUCGUUCAUAUUGACUAAGUUGACAAAGCCCUCCGUCCCCGUAAACUUAGUAGGCCCACAAGUCAGCCUCCCACCAAGGUGAGUCCCAGCUAGCAGGGUGAGUAUUCAUUUUUUGUGCGUAAUAAGGAGCAUUUCCAGUGGGUCCGAGCUGACAGCGAGCGGAACGUUUUUUUCGCGAAAUAUAGAGACCGUUCCGGUGGGUCCCAGCUAUCAGGUGGAGGAAUCAUUAUUUUGCGCAUAAUAAGGAGGCAUUUUCCUAUGUGGGCCCCUACUGUCAGCCUCUUCCGAUGGCUGUUGUUUGUUGACCAUGUUGACCUCGCCGCGUCGAGAGCACAAACGUGGUGGACGAGGGCGAGGCCCAGGAAGAGAACCACGCGGAGCCGGCAAAGCCACCACAGCGGAUGCCCACGCUGAGGGGAGAACGAGCGCUUAUUGGUCGGCUGCGGGGUGAGGCUGACAUCGUCGGAAAAUAACAAGAUGUGUGGGUGGUUGCAGGGAUGGCCUGGCGGCAGGAUAGUCAGCCACGGGAGGAGGGACCAGGUAGUCCCACUGGCGCUGGUUUGGGCGGCUGGGGCAAGAAGAUCAGAGAUUGAAAAAGUAUGACGGCCGUUGGAUGGAAAUCCAACAGUCACUGCUGUGUGUUGACUAAGUUGACAAAGCCUUGCGUACGCGUCAAAAAAAAUUUAGGACAGUGUCAUCGUCAACCUGGUCAUUGACAAAGCCAUAUUCUUUUUAUUAGCAUUACAGACCAUAUAUUCUGGGCACUGCUCAAAAAUUGAACGAAAUUUUGCAUAUUUCGGUGGGGUCCGAAGUCUUUUAAUCACGAAAUUUCGAGUCAUGUUAAAAAUAAUUUUCAAAAAAUUAUAUCAAUAUAAAAUUCAAAAAACAAUUCUCCGCAAAAAAAAUGAAUGAAAUUUAGAAUAUUAACUAGCAAGAUGCCCGUUCGUUGCACAGAACAUGAAGAUGCAUUUGUGUGAGUAGUUUAUCUUGUGGGAGAAAAGAUGGUAUUUUAAUGUAAUUGCCAGUUGGCUUUGGUUUUUAUAAUAGUAGAGAGUCGAGAAAUCCUGAAAAAAAUAAUAUUUUAAUGCAAUUGCCGGUUUGCUUUGGUUUAAAAAUUUACAAGCUUAUAGCCCAUUUUCUGGGGAAGCCCAUUUCUUACUACUUACAUCCCUCCUCGUCUUGAAAGAUUUGCAGCCCAGCAGGGCUGAGAAAAGCAAGUAGGCCGCGCUUUGUUAUUCUUCAAAAAAAGAACUGGGCUAGCCAAUUUCAGAAAGAAAAAAUAUAUCAACUGGGCUCGUCAUGUGUUUAAUAAAAGUGUAAGCAUGGUCUAGACGGGGCACAGCCCCCGCACAACACGCAGUUGAGCUCCGUCUCUGAAACUGAAAAACAACUGGGAGAGCUGCUGGGUCCCUGGUGUUAUCCGCUCGUUGUGUAAUUUUCUCGUUUAUUGACUACAUUGACAAUGGCCUGGAACCUAGUUGUCAAACAAUUAGGAGGAAGUAUUUUUUUGGCUUGUAAUAACGAGGCACCUGCUUGCGAAAUGCAAUGACCCUGGUGGGUCCCUACUGUCAGCCUCUCCACGUACAGUCAUCUCUUGAUUCCUCUUGGUUGUUGACCAUGUUGACAACACCAGACGGCGGCGGGCACAGCGAGCUAACCAAGGCGAAGAACGAUGGCAAGGCCUCAGACGGGAACGAACAGCAGCAAUGGAAGAUGCGACAGUGUAGUGGCAAGUGGAGGGGAGUACGAGGGCAACAACAUGCAAGUCAAGCAUACAAAUGGUACAAAAAGCCCAAGGAUUAAUUGUUCAUCAAAUUUUUAGACAAAACCCAGAUUGAACAUGACAGUAACAUCUAACCCAACAACUCUUUUUUGCAGUCACAAACAAAUGGAUCAGUCUGAUCCAUAAAAUCAACAUCCUGUGCAAUUUUUUUUAUUUCAGGAUGUCUACAACUUAUUGUAAAUAGAAGCCGAGAACUUUUAGAAGCCCAUUUGUCCACCUGAAACUUCUUUUUUUGCUGUUCAAUAUGUUCGUCCGUGAGAAAUCUCUUGCUGUAAAAAUUAAGCCUCAUGGACAAUAGUAACCUCGCAUUCAACAGGAAGAAUGUGACAAAGCUUCUGUUUGCCUGGUUGGAUGCAUAUCGUCCCAUCAUUAUUGUCCUCAAACGAAUGUCAUGAGAACUGAGAAAAUCCUUGUGCUUAUUACGCCAACCAUUGGUUACAUGUUUUUAUCCAUGUGGUUCUGCCUAAGUAGACAUGAAGAUUGAAAACAGUUAAGGUCUGAAAAAAGAGUAAGUCGAAAUAAUGGCAGCUAAACAGUUAAUUCUAGUACAAUAUAUACGACUUUCAAUAUGCAUGAAAUCGUCACCUCUAUGUAUAAAUUCUCCAGAGAUCAAAAGCAUAGCAGCAAGCCAAUAAUUAUGUCCAAAUCAAAACUAUACAUACUAAUAUAUAUGAUCUUGACAGAAUCCAGCAGUAUUGAUAGGCUGUCAAUGGACGAACUCUUCAUUGAGCAUAUAACAUAAUAUUAGUACCCAAAGUGUACUCCAAGAUUAUAUAAAACUUAUGCGCACAAAUGAAAAAUGCAGCAUAUGAUUACAAAUGUGUAGAUGAUAAUAUACGGUACCUGAAAAAGUGAGGAUCCAAACACCCACUCCUUGUCAUUAUUAAACGGGUCAUGAAUUACACCCAAGGUCUCCAGUUUGGGCGCAGAGACGAUAGUUAUUUCUGAAGGUGUAUAACAAUUACGAAGGAGCAACCUUUCAAGUGAAGGGGCAUCUUCGAUGAUGAGUCGUUGUCCUUUAAAACAAAUUCCAAUGCUUUUAAGGUGAGGCGACUUUAUUUGGAGACAACUGAUACCGAUUUCUAUUCCCAAAACAAUCAGCAAGCGUUCCAGGGCAGGGAAACUAGAGUGGAUGAUGUUGUGCAGUGAGGCCACUGACAGAUAAACCACCACAAGCGAAAGUUCUUUUAUUAGUGGGAGUCGAAGCAUUUGUACCAGAUCGUCUGGUAGAUGGCAUCGGGCAAAGGUGGCGGUGUGGAGAGAGGAGGAAAACUGCAAGAUGGAGAACGGUGGUGUGGGCACAAAUUCUUGGUAUGUUCGUGGUAUGAAACUUUCAUGGUAAUGGUAGAACUAAAACUGCUGGAGUUUUACGAAUUUAGGGGAUGUCAGCCAAGCAUCCACCUUGCCGGGUAUGGACAGCAUGUAGCUUGUCGGGAUGCCGAUGCAUUGAACGGGGCCUUGCUGGUGAGAAGAGACGAUGGCUCUGAGGAGAUCAAAUUCAGGAAGGACAGAUAUCUGACGACAUUCGAGAUUGAGGGGCGCGGUGCGCCAUAGAAGGUGCCACCAAGUUGUGAGGACUUGUGUGCGGCAGCAAUCCUUGGUGGGGAGAAGCGAGAUGAUCUCCUCAAGGAUGACGCCCGGGAGAUCGCUGAUGCGGUCCAUCGGAGAGUCUACAGGUUCCUCAGAUCCGGGUGGGGGGGGGGCUCGCCGCUUCUCCCCGGCGCUAACGGGUGCGGGAUCUACAACCGGCGUUGCUGCUAGCGGGAGCCUCGUCUUCUUGGCGCUGGGGCCAGCCAACUCCAUUUUCCUUGUGGGCGUCGCGCCGAGCUCACGGGUUUGAGCAGAGUAGCCAGAGACGAGCCUAGUGGUAGUGCGAGUGGGGAAGAAGGAGGGCUGGGGAUUUCUGUAGGAGUGGAAGAAGAGGAGCAGGCGUUUUCUGUACGAGUGAGGAAGAAGGUGAGCGGGGUUUUCUGGACGAGUGAGGAAGAUUGGGGAGCGGGGGGAAUUGGGUGGGGAGACGAAGCGGGAGAGCGAGCUGUUCGUGUUUAUAAGGCCCGCUACACUAACUACUCGCUUUUUUCCAAGGCCCGCUCUCUUCUUUUGUGUUGCUGCAUUGGAGCUGGCGCAUGGGCUUGGCUGACUGGCCAUGCAUGUAGGAUGCAUGUGCCCGCCGACCACUGCAUGCAUCUGGUUUGUUACUAGGCCUAUUUAAUAGGGUGGUAAUGGAGUAAAUUAAGGAGAUUUAUUUUCUCUGUGUGCGUCCACCAAAUUAGAGGAUGCGGUACUGGAUGCAGACACUCAGAUUAAACUAACAUUUAGAAGAAAAAAAGUUCAGCAUGUCUAUGCAUCUCAAUGAUUCACCAUACUAUAACCAAUAUACAAAGCUGUGAGAAGGUGUGGAAAUAAAGAAAAUCGGUUGAUGCUUCUCUGAGCAAAGGGCCUCCCCGCGCACGCGUUAAUUUCCUGGGCAUGCUUGUUUCUUCUCAAUGUUGCGAGCACUUUGAGCAUGUUGGCAACUCCACAGUUAGCUAGCUGCCUCAUCUUGCAAUUGAUGCUGACACAUUUGCAAAAAACACAUGAGGCAAUAGAGAUGACUCAACAUGGGUCCAUAUUGUGCAGUUCCCCUGAUAUCAUAUUCAUUGUCCUGAAUCUGAAAAGAUAGGAAAACAGUAGCUAUACUUAAACGGGGUUGCAAAAAAGUAGCACAUAUCAAUAGCUCGACAUGACAAAACACGAUCAUCUGGAUGAAGGGGAUACUGACCUGCCUGAGGAAGAUUACAUAUAAUUUCAUAAGUCCUUGGUUGAUUUCCACCUUGGGCUGCACUGCUUGUUUGCUCCUCCACACAUGUCAGGAUCGUUCCGCACUGCAUUCAGCAAGUCAACGUACGAAUAAGCUAAUUUCAUCUUGCGGUAGUCAUUGUACCUAGUUACGAAUGUAGGAAUACCUGGAGUACCAUGAGGUUAGCUGACAGCAGGUAGAUGCAGCCAUAUAAAUUUUGUGCGGUGCUACCAAAAUUGAGGUUUGUAUCCCUUCCCGUUAUGAGAAUUCUUCUUGAAGUUGGUAGAAUGUGACGGCUUGUUCUUUGCAUCAAACUUGCCUUUCCCCUGAGAUUUGUUCUUGUUGUUUUGGGGCUGGUUGGGCUGGAAGUUCUUCUCGUGUACCAUGUGGGCACUAGAAGCUCCCUUAGCGACCCGAGCACGUGUGUCAUUUGCUCUCGCCUUCUCCUCAAAAUGAAGAGUGCUAAUGAGAUCCAAAAAGGAAAACUCAUGUCUCUUGUUUUUCAGAGAAGUAGCAAAAUCGUUCCACGAAGGUGGAAGCUUGGCAAUGAUGUUCCCAGCAAAAAAUUUGUCUGGCAACACACACUUAAAGUACUCAAGUUCCUUAGAGAGAGACUGUAUCUCAUGACUCUGCUGAACAACAGAGCGCUCAUCAGUCAUCUUGUAGUCACAUAAUUGCUCCAUGAUGUACAACUCGUUGCCAGCGCCAGAGGGCCCAAACGUGGCCUCGAGCGGAGCCCACAUGUCUUUGCCGCUGUCAAACGACCGAUAGAAUUGAAAACAGGGAUGAAGUGUGUGGCUGCGCGAUCGAUAAAGAGUGCCAUAAUAUUUGUGUUUGCCCACGUCAAAGAUACAGGGCGGCUGGCCUACUGGAAUUUGAGAGGGCAGAGGUGACUUCUCCGUGGCAUGGAUACCUACCUACAACGUUCGACUAUCGGUGUGUGUGGGUGGGGGGGUAGAGACCGGUCAACUAGUAUAUGUGUGGGGAAGGAGAAAGACCUAGCUAUGUAUUGAGGGAGAUCAAUCGACAUCCGUGUAUAUGUGUAGUAGAGGAAUAACGUUGGGAAAAAGACAAAGGUAGAGCGUCGGAGGGUUGGUGGUGGAGUGGCGUCUCACAAAUGGUGGGAGAGGCCUGCUAGACAAACGGAGGGUAUGAGUGCAAUAUCAAUAAGACAGGGCGGGGGAUGUCUGUCUGUCUAUGCAUGUGCGUGUGAGAGACGGGUCGGGAGGUAUUCAAGGAUGAUGAGGGGAGAAGAUAUGGUUGUGGUAAGCAUGCGUAACUACACAGGAAGAUCAACUGUCGUGUGUCCGAGAAAAGGAGUGACAUAACUAGCGAGGUAAGUGUGUCGGUGCUUGGUGAAAACAAAUUAUAGUUGACCCGGCUAUAUGUAGGGAGAGCAGUUCAUAUACACGCUUGCAUGUGUUAGAAGCAAAUAAGGUUCGGAGAGGCAGACAGGGGGAGAGGGUGUGGCUAGGAGGUGGUGCGAGAGGCCUACCUUGUCGAGGGGGGAGGAGUGUGCGAGCAUGUGAUAAAUGAAAAGAGGGGCGGGAGUGUGCACCUGUGUGGAAUCGUAUUGGACAUAUGGGGGCAUGGACGGUGAGAAGAGAAGAGGGGAAGUAUAUAUGUCUUUGUUGUAGGCACACUUGGCUAGAGAGGUAUAUCGACCGGUGUGUGCUAGAAAGGAGCCGGGGGCCUACAGACACCGCUAGUGGACAACCUAAAGAGAAAUAAUGAACGUGCGCGAUGGAGGGGACGCUAAGGGUGUGUGAGGGGGCGGGCGCGUGCAUGCACGAUAGAAAGUUAGCGCUAGCUAGCUACAAAUAGAAGAGGAUCAUGAAGGUGUAAAAGACGAACAAAGAUCAUAAUUCAUUAUAAAAAAGUGGAUAUGGAUACUUGAAGAAUAUAUCAUAAUGUAGAACAUUGAUUAUAAUUUGGGCUAAUGUGUGGCUUUUGUAACUCAGGUCUAAAUACUCGGGUCGAUAUAUGUAGGGAGAUCAGUUCAUAUACACGCCUGCAUGUGUUAGAAGCAAAUAAGGUCCGGAGAGGCAGACAGGGGGAGAGUGUGUGGCUAGGAGGUGGUGCGAGAGGCCUACCAUGUCGAGGGGGGAGGAGUGUGCGAGCAUGUGACUAAUGAAAAGAGGGGCGGGAGUGUGCACCUGCGUGGAAUCGUAUUGGACAUGUGGGGGCAUGGACGGUGAGAAGAGAAGAGGGGAAGUAUAUAUGUGUUUGUUGUAGGCACAUUUGGCUAGGGAGGUAUAUCGACCGUGUGUGCCAGAAAGAAGGAAACGGGGGCCUACACACACCGCUGGUGGACGACCUAAAGAGAAAUAAUGAACGUGCACGAUGGAGGGGACGCUAAGGGUGUGUGAGGGGGGCGGGCGUGUGCAUGCAUGAUAGAAAGUUAGCGCUAGCUAGCUACAAAUAUAAGAGGAUCGUGAAGGUGUAAAAGACGAACAAAGAUCAUAAUUCAUUAUAAAAAGAUGGAUACAGAUACUUGAAGAAGAUAUCAUAAUGUACAACAUUGAUUAUAAUUUGGGCUAAUGUGUGGCUUUUGCAAGUCAGGUCUAAAUACUUGUCAUAAUGUAGGGGGCGGGGCACUAUACUUUGUGUGAUAAACACGGUGUACGUAUGGAAGAUGGUUUAGAUUAUGAAUAUAUAGUUAGUACAUCAAAUGUACUAUUAUUUGGAAUCAACAUCAAGUGUAUUCAAAAAAUAGAAUUCGAGUUCAUGUAGUACACAUAGUUCAUAUCUAUCUCUAUAGUAAUGAUGUGGUGUGUUAUUAAGGUAAUACACAAAUGAUGGUUCAAGUUGGCAACAAUCAUGAUUGCAGAUACUUAUUGAAAUAGAGAACGAAUUCAAAUUUAGUUCGAAUUGCAGCGGUAGUAUAGACAUUUGGAAUGCACUAAAAUGUUGGUAUGAGUAGGUUACAUGCAUUAUCCAGCAAGCGAACAAAAUUAAUCGGACAUAACAUCGAUUCAUACUCCCUCCUUCCAUCUAUAUAGGGCGUAAUGAGAUUUUUAAGACCGCCUUUGACUAUUGACAGGAUUAAUAGUACAUGACAUGCACAAUGUGAAAAUUAUAUCAUUGAAAGAACCUUUCACCGACGAAUUUAACGGUGUGCUUUGUGUAAGUUGCAUGUCAUAUAUCAUUGUUCUAAUAUUUGGUCAAAGUUAGCAUCGAAAAACGCAUUAGGCCCUAUAUAGAUGGAAGGAGGGAGUAGCUUUGAAUAGGAUUUGUAUAGUAAGACGGGGCAAGACUCUCUCUUUGUGUGGUGUGAAUAGUUUUUUUUUCAUUUUCUUUUUGGUUGAGGGAAGUGCGAAUUGAUUUGGUACGUACAAGUACAAUAUUACUAAACGUUAGGCUUGUCCCUAAAAUUCAACUCGCGUCUUGUUAUAUCUCGAAAAUUCAAAUAUCGUGCUCUCAAAACUAGCGCUUUCACAACCCGCGCCUUGCUAUCCCGAAAUUAUAACGCGUGCAAAAACUCCCUCCAGCUGCCAAAUCCCGACACACGAAAUCCCCCUUCUAAACCUGAGCCAAAAGGGCCACUAGUUCAAAUCGGUGGGGAGUACUUUUGUAACACACCCUACAUUUUGGACAAGCGCGUCCCUAAGUCAUGCUUCACCCCCUCCCAUCACCCCCUUUUCGCCAUUCGAAAUCCCAGGCCCCAUAACCUCUCCGCUUCAGCCGCGAAACCCCACACUCCUCCGUCCGCCACGUCACCGCUGCCCAGCCGGAGCCUCUUCCCCGAUGACAUUGUCCACCGCAACAGCUCGACGUGCCUCGUCCACCUCCCCGGAUGAGGAUCCGACGUCCAUCUCGCCGUCCCGCUGGUUCAGCCGCCCCGUCCUCCACCUCCAGGGAGAUGCUCCAACGAUCGCCUCGUCUAUCGUGGCUGCUCCAUCCCCACAGUGCCGCCUUAACCUGCUCCAUCGGAACCGCAGCAUCCUCACCGACUCCUCGGACGAAGCCGAGGCCUACUCGGCAACACCAAAGAGGUUGUACACUGAUUGCAUCGCACCUUCUCCUUAACUCGACCUCCCGGCGCCGACAGUGCUCCAUCCAGCACCCCCAUGGAGCGGCUAUCUUGAAGCCGGCGCCGCGGGCGACAUCUCCACGGCGGCUCUCCCCCAGUGCAAGGCCCCUUCGGCGGCUGCGUCCAUACCAGCCGGAUCUGCUGCUGCUGCUCCGGCUCUCACUUGCUCGCUCGCGCUGCCGCUGCUCCGACUCUCGCUCCAUCGCUUGCUCGCCCAGCUGCUGCUGCUGCUCCCCCCUUGCUCAUGUUGCUGCUCUGCUCCGAUUAAGACACACUUCAGUCGACUGAAUCGACUUUUGGGUCAGUCGAUUUUCAGGGGUUGGAGGGGCUCGCCAGAGUUAAGGAAGAACCACCCGCAGCGGGGACGGGGGCCGCCGGAGAGGUACCCCACUAUCUUUCUUAGGGUUCAGGGCGGGGGGUGGGGACCUAUAGGGUUGGCCAAGGCGGCGGUGGCGAGUUGCUUCGGGGCGGCGAGGCGACGCUGGGGCCGGCGGUUCGGCCGGUGGUGGCUGGUGGCUCAGGGGGGGGUGCAGGUUGAAGAUGAACUGCAGGCCCUCCCUAAACUACAUGUCAAGUGCCUCUCUGCUACCAUUGCGUUCAGUUUCGACAGUAGCAUUCAGAUUCCACAAUAAAUUUCAGUUUUGACAGUUAAGUUCAGAGUCAACAGUUUUUACCUCAUCUGUUGUAGUUAGGUGGUUUUUGGUGAUGUUAAUUUUACAUCCAUUUUUCAUCAUCUACUGGAGAUGCUAUUAGAAUCCCACUUGAGAUUGACGAUGUCUGUUUUGUGCUGCUUCAGCAUUGACGUCCUAUGGCUAACCGGAGCUGCUCCAACAACAGAACGAUCCAUCACAAUAGAGCAGUGCCCUGGACACCGUCUAUAGAUUCCUCAGAUCUUCCUCCACACCUCCGAUAGCCACCUCUGCCUCAACUGCUUCAGUGACCGACCCAAUGAUGCUGAGGUCGACACGGCUACGGCAAAGAGGUUGUACACUUGUUGCAUCACUUAUUACUAUACAUUCACGUCGAUCCAUUAGGGCUAUUUUGAUUCAAAGGAAAAACAUAGCAAUAGGGAAUUUUCCAAUGGCACUCUACUAUUCAAUUAUUCAUGCAUUUUGUUGAAAGUAAUGAAGCAAAACAUCCACCUAGACCUACUUUUCAAAAUCCUAUGCAUGAAAACAAGACCAAGUGCAUUAGUGCCAGAAUAACAUUCUAACUGUACACGCUUUCAUAUGGUUUCACUUUAUUUUGGCGAGGUUUCUUUGCAUUCCUCUGCUCUUCCAAUUCUUGUAAACCAAACACCCAAGUUGACAGAAAUCCUGUGUUUACAAAUGCUCCAUUUACCAUGUGCAUUUUCCUGUCCUAUUCCGGUGUUUUUCCUAUCCCUGCACUUUAAGAAUCAUGCAAGCUAAAUCAGCUCUUGCAGAAUUACUUCAGUUACAGGUACGUGUCGAAGGGAACUUUGUGUGGUUUGUCCUGCUCCUGCCGCGAUGUCGUCCACCUCACCUGAGCUGCUCCAUCGACAGAGGCAUCCGCCAAACCAUACAUCACGACCCCUGUCCGUCUUUCGCCGCCUCAAAUCUCCUUCCCUGCCGCUGGCACCCACCACAACGACAUCAGCAUCAUCGACUCAGCAGAUGAACCUGAGGAGUACACGGGUCCACAAGAGAGGUCGCACUCUUUUGUUUCUGCUUAUGUUAUGCAUUUCUUAAACUUACCUGCUACUUUAUCGUCCUGUUCAGCUCUUGGACUCCCAAGUCAGGUCCAAAUUAAUACUCAAACUUGAGUUCUAAAUUAGUUGUGGGGCAAAUAUCGAGGCAACAAUCAAUAGUAUGUCCGUCUAAUAUCUGGUUCACCUAGGGUAUGCUAUGUUGUUCAUCUUGGGUGGGAAAUAAAUAGUAAAGCAAUCAUCAUUUGUCUUUUUAUUAAUUUAAAGCAAUCAUCAACCUGCUAUCAUUAUUUUUGGAUCCAUCCACUGGUUAUUACAAUCACUCUAAAUUUCUGCAUGCUCUCCUUACAUAAUCUCACCAUAGUUUUUCAUAUGCAUGUCAAAUAUUGUACACAGUCAUGUUGAACAUGUAGAGAAAUAGAGAAGAGUUUUACGCGGCAAUACAAUGUCAUGCAGACAUCGGUCCAUUGUGGGUUCAAUGGCAAACCCUCCCCACCCCUCUCCAGAUUGUAAUCCAGAGGAAGAUAUCUGUUCUGAGGCGGAUUCGGACGCCGCUGACCACUCCUAUUUACCCCCCAAGGUGUUUGCUCUACCUUGGCAUGAUAAAGUUAGUCAUAUCAUGCAUAUGUUGCCUUGCAGUGCCUACUUUUGACAUCAUAUAUGUCAUCUGCUUAGUUUAGACAUGUUCGGUAAUGCCACCUGUUUAGUUUCUAUAUCAUAUAUGGGAAUUAUGCAGUCUCAUGUCUUUUAGCCAGCCAUAAUAUAUGUGAAAUGUGCAAUGCCAUCGUGUUUAACCAGGAAUCAUAUAUUUGAAUGAUAUCUUGCCCAUCCUUUUCUUCAUUACAUUUCCAUUUGUCGACAAUGUUUGUACAUUAAACUACUCUUCCUGUGAACCAGCCAUUUGGGUGGGAGAUGGCAACAUCUGGUGUGAAAACAAGGCCUUCAGAGCAAACAGUGCUACCUGUCGAAGCAGAUCUCUUAUUGGGUCCGAUAGCUCCUCAGAGAUGGAUUUAGAGACAGAUGACCAGUCCUAUUCCCCCACUGAGGUGUAUGCUCUAACUUGGCAUGGUUAUACUGCUCAUAUCAUGCAUAUGGUGUCUUGCAUUGCAUAGUUUAGACAUCCUAUACACAAUAUUCAACACAAUGUUCUUAGUUCAGACAUCAUAUCGAAUGCCCUCUGUUUAGCAUAUAGAUCACAUAGUGAAUUAAAUGAUGCGAUCCUGAUUACUUAGAUAACAUGUAGGUGAAUUAUGUCAUGCGAUCCUAUUUAGUUAUUCGUCAUAUCUUUGAAUUAUGUUAUGCUAUGCUAUCCAGUUUAGAUAGACAUCAUAUAUGUGAAAUCAUGUCAUGCUAUCCAUUUUAGUUAAACAAUAUACAUGUCAACUUUUUCAUGCCCUCUAUUUUCCACACUAUCUAUUGCAUCUGUCUCUCAUACAAUGUCUGUACAUUCAACUAUGUUUCCUGUUUAUCAGCCAUUUGAAUUGGAGUGGGUGAUGCCAGUAUAUAGCGGACUAAAAACACGGUCUUCAAAUAAAACAAUGCUACCUCUUAGUGGAGAUAGCACCCCGGUUGUACAUGCACAAGAACCAGCCCUACCACACAUAACCCAAACUCUCGCAGAUUGUACCCCUACUGCGAUGGACAGAGAACCAGCUUCACCCAAUCUAACCCCAACCCCAGCCGAUAGUAACCCAGUUCCUGUUGACACAGCACCAUCUCCACCACAGAGCUCCCAAACAAGAGCAGUUAGUAAGGCAGCUCCAGUGCCCAAAGGGCCACUACUAUCAUGGCGAACCCCAACUCCACCAGUUAGUACGCCUAUUCCCGUGGAGGAAGCACAACCAGCUAGCCGUAGUUUAGCAUCUAUCGCAUUUGAUGUUGUUAAAUCGUAUGUGUGUAUCUUCCCAUCUUGGAAAUAUUAUACUGAAGAUGAAGGAAAAUGCCAGUUGUAGGUGUUUGUCCUGGAGUUAUGUGUAAGUAAUGUUAUUCAUGGCAGUUACUUUGCUUCGUCCCAUACAUACUACCUCCAUGAUGGUUAUAAUACAACAAAUUUUCCCAUUUUUCUCUAUAGAGAAGGACCGAUUUGGAAACUCAGGAUGAGGUAACCUGUGCUAAUACCUCUGCUAUCUUCAAGAAUGCUUCGUGGAAGUAUCGGAAUUACCUGAAGAAAAGGUACUUCGCCGACAAAGAAACUCAUCAAAUUCCCUUUCGUUCUCCUGAGACACAUUUACUGGACGAUGACUGGGAACGCCUUGUUUUGUACUGGUCCCGAACCAAGAAUGUGGUAAGGUCUAUGAGCUCAUUUUCUAUUUUUAAGUAUUAUAUCCUUGUGUCUUGCUGUACUCUGUUCAUGUAGAACAAGUGCCUAAACCUGAAGAACAACUGUUCUAAUUUAAGAUUCCAUUACUAUCAUAGUUCAAAAAAGCGCUAGGCAUUAAUUGUGCGUUUUGCCACCGCCUUGCGCUUUACUGGCCAAAGCACAUGCUUAUGCACAGUUAUGCACAGAUUAAGCGUAGUUAUGCGCAAUGCGUUUUGCCAACGCCUAGAGCCUAGGCGCACUGAAGCGCUCGCUUAGGCGCGCCUUUUUUAACUAUGAUCGCUUUGCUCUUGUAUCACUGUAUUUACUCAUACAAACUUAUUUUUAAAUUGAAGGAUCCAAUCGAAACUCCAAUGGCACAGCAGGUAUGUUCACGCAUGUUUCUUUAACAGGUUUGCUCUUAUCAAUAGCUCUUUUGAUUUCAAUUUCAAUUGUGUAUACAGUUGACUUUCAAUAGCAUCACAACAGAGCCAAUAGUGUUGUUGUACAUGUAGACCCGUGGUACCCAUCUAAAAUCUUGUUGUGCCGUGUAGUUUCCCAUGCUUUGUAUUCUUUCACUGCUGCUUUGUCUUGAACUGAUAUGAUUUGAACCGUGUCUCUAUUUUGAUUUGGCAAGAUAAUACAAUGACCAUAGGACAUAGAUAUAUGUUUGUUUGAUGCUUUUAUUAUGUACUAGUACUUGACAAUAGAAGACUUGGUAGUUUAUGUUGGGGAACGUAGUAAUUUCAAAAAAAUUCCUACGCACACGCAAGAUCAUGGUGAUGACAUAGCAACGAGAGGGGAGAGUGUUGUCCACGUACCCUCGUAGACACUAAGCGGAAGCGUUAGCACAACGCGGUUGAUGUAGUCGUACGUCUUCACGAUCCGAUCGAUCCAAGCACCGAACAUACGACACCUCCGAGUUCAGCACACGUUCAGCUCGAUGACGAUCCCCUUGCUCUGAUACAGCAAAGCUUCGGGGAUGAGUUCCGUCAGCACGACGGCAUGGUGACGAUGAUGAUGUUCAACCGGCGCAGGGCUUCGCCUAAACUACGUGACGAUAUGACCGAGGUGAAAUAUGGUGGAGGGGGGCACCGCACACGGCUAAGGAACGAUCCGUAGAUCAACUUAUGUGUUAUGGGGUGCCCCCUUGCCCCCGUAUAUAAAGGAGGGAGGGGGAGGUGCGGCCGGCCCCCUUGGGGUGCGCCUGGAGGAGUCCUACUCCCACCAGGAGUAGGACUCCCCCCUCUUGCCUUGGUGGAGAAGGAAAGGGGGGAGGGGAAAGAGGAAAGGGGGGUGCCGCCCCCCCCCUUCCUUGUCCUAUUCGGACUAGGGGGGGAGGGGGCGCGCGGCCUACCCUGGCCGGCCCUCCUCUUCUCCCUCAUGGCCCACUAAGGCCCAUUAACCCCCGGGAGGGUUCCGGUAACCCCCCGGUGUUCCGGUUAAAUCCUGAUUUCAUCCGGAACCUUUCCGAUGUCCAAACAUAGGCUUCGAAUAUAUCAAUCUUUAUGUCUCGACCAUUUCGAGACUCCUCGUUACGUCCGUGAUCACAUCCGGGACUCCGAACAAACUUCGGUACAUCAAAACUUAUAAACUCAUAAUAAAACUGUCAUCGUAACGUUAAGCGUGCGGACCCUACGGGUUCGAGAACUAUGUAGACAUGACCUAGAACUAUUCUCGGUCAAUAACCAAUAGCGGAACCUGGAUGCCCAUAUUGGUUCCUACAUAUUCUACGAAGAUCUUUAUUGGUCAAACCGCAUAACAACAUACGUUGUUCCCUUUAUCAUCGGUAUGUUACUUGCCCGAGAUUUGAUCGUCGGUAUCCAAUACCUAGUUCAAUCUCGUUACGGCAAGUCUCUUUAAUCAUUACGUAAUGCAUCAUCCCGUAACCAACUCAUUGGUCACAUUGCUUGCAAGGCUUGUAGUGAUGUGCAUUACCGAGAGGGCCCAGAGAUACCUCUCCGACAAUCGGAGUGACAAAACCUAAUCUCGAAAUACACCAACUCAACAUGUACCUUUGGAGACACCUGUAGUACUCCUUUAUAGUCACACAGUUACGUUGUGACGUUUGGUAGCACCCAAAGUGUUCCUCCGAUAAACGGGAGUUGCAUAAUCUCAUAGUUACAGGAACAUGUAUAAGUCAUGAAGAAAGCAAUAGCAACAUACUAAACGAUCAAGUGCUAGGCUAACGGAAUGGGUCAUGUCAAUCACAUCAUUCUCCUAAUGAUGUGAUCCCGUUAAUCAAAUGACAACUCUUUUGUCCAUGGCUAGGAAACUUAACCAUCUUUGAUUCAACGAGCUAGUCAAGUAGAGGCAUACUAGUGACAUUAUGUUUGUCUAUGUAUUCACACAUGUAUUAUGUUUCCGGUUAAUACAAUUCUAGCAUGAAUAAUAAACAUUUAUCAUGAUAUAAGGAAAUAAUUAAUAACUUUAUUAUUGCCUCUAGGGCAUAUUUCCUUCAGUCUCCCACUUGCACUAGAGUCAAUAAUCUAGUUCACAUCACCAUGUGAUUUAACACCAAUAUUCACAUCUGUAUGUGAUUAAACCCAUAGUUCACAUCUUCAUGUGACCAAAAACCCAAAGGGUUUACUAGAGUCAAUAAUCUAGUUCACAUUGCUAUGUGAUUAACACCCAAAGAGUACAAAGGUAUGAUCAUGUUUUGCUCGUGAGAGAAGCUUAGUCAACGGUUCUGUCACAUUCAGAGCCGCAUGUAUUUUGCAAAUAUUCUAUGUCUACAAUGCUCUGCACGGAGCUACUAUAGCUAAUUGCUCCCACUUUCAACAUGUAUCCAGAUUGAGACUUAUAGUCAUCUGGAUCAGUGUAAAAGCUUGCACUGUUGUAACUCUUUACGACGGGCUCUUUUAUCACCUCCAUAAUCGAGAAAUAUUUCUUUAGUCCUCACUAAGGAUAUUCUUGACCGUUGUCCAGUGAUCUACUAUUAGAUAAAAAUUGUAUUCCUUUGCCAAACUCAGAGCAAGGUAUAUAAUAGGUCUGGUUCACAGCAUAGCAUACUUUAUAGAACCUAUGACUGAGGCAUAGGGAAUGACUUUUCAUUCUCUUUCUAUUUUCUGCAAUGGUCGGGUCUUGAGUCUUACUCAACUUCACACCUUGUAACACAGGCAAGAACUCCUUCUUUGACUGUUCCAUUUUAAACUAUUUCAAAAAUUUAUCAAGGUAUGUACUCAUUGAAAAAUCUUAUCAAGCGUCUUGAUCUAUCUAUAUAGAUCUUGAUGCUCAAUGUGUAAGCAGCUUCACCGAGGUCUUGCUUUGAAAAACUCUUAUUCAAGUAUCCUUUCAUGCUAUCUAGAAUUUCCAUAUCAUUUCCAAUUAACAAUAUGUCAUCCACAUAUAAUAUUAGAAAUGCUACAGAGCUCCCACUCACUUUCUUGUAAAUACAGGCUUCUUCAAAAGUCUGUAUAAAACCAUAUGCUUUGAUCAACUCAUCAAAGCAUAUAUUCCAACUCCGAGAUGCUUGCACCAGUCCAUAGAUGGAUCGCUGGAGCUUGCACAAUUUGUUAGCACUUUUAGGAUUGACAAAACCUUUUGGUUGCAUCAUAUACAACUCUUUUUAAGAAAACCAUUAAGGAAUGCAAUUUUGACAUCCAUUUGCCAGAUUUCAUAAAAUGUGGCAAUUGCUAACAUGAUUCGGACAGACUUAAGCAUCGCUACAGUUGAGAAAAUCUCAUUGUAGUCAACACCUUGAACUUGUCAAAAACCUUUCGCAACAAGUCGAGCUUAGUAGAUAGUAACACUACUAUCAGUGUUCGUCUUCCUCUUGAAGAUCCAUUUAUUUUCUAUGGCUUGCCGAUCAUCGGGCAAGUCAAUCAAAGUCCACACUUUGUUCUUAUAUAUGGAUCCUAUCUCAAAUUUCAUGGCCUCAAGCCAUUUUGCGGAAUCUGGGCUCACCAUCGCUUCUUCAUAGUUCUUAGGUUCGUCAUGGUCUAGUAACAUAACUUCCAGAACAGGAUUACCGUACCACUUUGGUGCAGAUCUUACUCUGUAAGACCUACGAGGUUCUGUAGUAACUUAAUCUGAAGUUUCAUGAUCAUCAUCAUUAACUUCCUCACUAAUUGGUGUAGUAGUCACAGGAACAGAUUUCUGUGAUGAACUAAUUUCCAAUAAGGGAGCAGGUACAGUUACCUCAUCAAGUUCUACUUUCCUCCCACUCACUUCUUUCGAGAGAAACUUCUUCUCUAGAAAGGAUCCAUUCUUGGCAACGAAUGUUUUGCCUUCAGAUCUAUGAUUGAAGGUGUACCCAACAGUUUCCUUUGGGUAUUCUAUGAAGACGCACUUCUCCGAUUUGGGUUUGAGCUUAUCAGGAUCAAACUUUUCAUAUAAGCAUCGUAGCCCUAAACGACAACUUGGGUUUUCUUGCUAAACCACAGUUCAUAUAGUGUCGUCUCAACGGAUUUAGAUGGUGCCCUUUUAAUGUGAAUGCAGCUGUCUCUAAUGCAUAACCCCAAAACGAUAAUGGUAAAUCAAUAAGAGACAUCAUAGAUCGCACCAAAAUAAAGUGCGGUUACGACGCUCGGACACACCAUAACAUUGUGGUGUUCUAGGUGGCGUGAGCUGUGAAACUAUUCCACAUUGUUUUAAUUGAAGACCAAAAUCGUAACUCAAAUAUUCGCCUCUGCGAUCAGAUCGCAGAAACUUUAUUUUCUUGUUACGAUGAUUUUUCCACUUCACUCUGAAAUUCUUUGAACCUUUGAACUAUUUCAGACUUAUGUUUCAUCAAGUAGAUAUACUCAUAUCUGCUCAAAUCAUCUUGUGAAGGUCAGAAAAUAACGAUACUUGCCACGAGCAUCAACACUCAUUGGAUCGCAUACAUCGGUAUGUAUUAUUUCCAAUAAGUCAGUAGCUCAUUCCAUUGUUCUGGAGAACGGAGUUUUAGUCAUCUUGCCUAAAAGGCACGGUUCGCAAGCAUCAAAUGAUUCAUAACCAAGUGAUUCCGAAAAUCCAUCUUUAUGGAGUUUCUUCAUGCGCUUUACACCGAUAUGACCCAAACAGCAGUGCCACAAAUAAGUUACACUAUCAUUAUUAAGUUUGCAUCUUUUGGCAUCAAUAUUAUGAAUAUGUGUAUCACUAUGAUCGAGAUCCAACAAACUAUUGUCAUUGGGUGUAUAACCAUUGAAGGACUUAUUCAUGUAAACAGAAUAACAAUUAUUCUUUAACUUCAAAUGAAUAACUGUAUCGCAAUAAACAUGAUCAAAUCAUAUUCAUGCUCAACGCAAACGCUAAAUAACAUUUAUUUAGGUUUAACACUAAUCCCGACAGUAUAGGGAGUGUGUGAUGAUGAUCAUAUCAAUCUUGGAACUAUUUCCAACACUUAUCAUCACUUCCCCUCAACUAGUCUCUGUUUAUUCUGUAACUCCUGUUUCGAGUUACUAAUCUUAGUGACCGAACAAGUAUCAAAUACUCAGGGGCUACUAUAAACACUAGUAAGGCAUACAUCAAUAACCUGUAUAUCAAAUACACCCUUGUUCACUUUGCCAUCCUUCUUAUCCACCAAAUAUUCAGGGCAUUUCCGCUUCCAGUGACCAUUUCCUUUGCAGUGUAAGCACUCAGUUUCAGGCUUUGGUCCAGCUUUGGUCUUCUUCACGGGAGUGACAACUUGCUUGCCAUUCUGCUUGAAGUUCCCUUUCUUUCCCUUUGCCCUUUUCUUGAAACUAGUGGUCUUGUCAAUCAUCAACACUUGAUGCUCUUUCUUGAUUUCUACCUUCGUCGAUUUCAGCAUCACGAAGAGCUUGGGAAUCGUUUUCGUCAUCCCUUGCAUUAUAGUUCAUCACGAAGUUCUACUAACUUGGUGGUGGUGACUAGAGAAUUCUGUCAAUCACUAUCUUAUCUGGAAGAUUAACUCCCACUUGAUUCAAGCGAUUGUAGUACCCAGACAAUCUGAGCACAUGCUCACUAGUUGAGCGAUUCUCCUCCAUCUUUUAGCUAUAGAACUUGUUGGAGACUUCAUAGCUCUCAACUCGGGUAUUUGCUUGAAAUAUUAACUUCAACUCAUGGAAUAUCUCAUAUGGUCCAUGAUGUUCAAAACGUUUUUGAAGUCCCGAUUCUAAGCCAUAAAGCAUGGUGCACAAAACUAUCAAGUAGUAAUCAUAUUGAGCUAGCCAAACGUUCAUAACGUCUGCAUCUGCUCCUAUAAUAGGUCUGUCACCUAGCGGUGCAUUAAGGACAUAAUUCUUCUGUGCAGCAAUGAGGAUAAACCUUAGAUCACGGAUCCAAUCCGCAUCAUUGCUACUAACAUCUUUCAACACAAUUUUCUCUAGGAACAUAUAAAAAUAAACAUAUGAAAGCAACAACGCAAGCUAUUGAUCUACAACAUAAUUUCCAAAAUACUACCAGGACUAAGUUCAUGAUAAAUUUAAGUUCAAUUAAUCAUAUUACUUAAGAACUCCCACUUAGACAGACAUCUCUCUAGUCAUCUAUGUGAUCACGUGAUCCAAAUCAACUAAACCAUGUCCGAUCAUCACGUGAGAUGGAGUAGUUUCAAUGGUGAACAUCACUAUGUUGAUCAUAUCUACUAUAUGAUUCACGCUCGACCUUUCGGUCUCCGUGUUCCAAGGCCAUAUCUGUAUAUGCUAGGCUCGUCAAGUAUGACCUGAGUAUUCCGCGUGUGCAACUGUUUUGCACCCGUUGUAUUUGAACGUAGAGCCUAUCACACCCGAUCAUCACGUGGUGUCUCAGCACGAAGAACUUUCACAACGGUGCAUACUUAGGGAGAACACUUCUUGAUUAUUAGUGAGAGAUCAUCUUAAAAUGCUACCGUCAAUCAAAGCAAGAUAAGAUGCAUAAAGGAUAAACAUCACAUGCAAUCAAUAUAAGUGAUAUGAUAUGGCCAUCAUCAUCUUGUGCUUGUGAUCUCCAUCUUCGAAGCACCGUCGUGAUCACCAUCGUCACCGGCGUGACACCUUCAUCUCCAUCGUAGCAUCGUUGUCGUUACGCCAUCUAUUGCUUCUACGACUAUCGCUACCACUUAGAGAUAAAGUAAAGCAAUUACAGGGCGUUUGCAUCUCAUACAAUAAAGCGACAACCAUAUGGCUCCUGCCAGUUGCCGAUAACUUCGGUUACAAAACAUGAUCAUCUCAUACAGAUAUAAUAUAGCAUCACGUCUUGACCAUAUCACAUCACAACAUGCCCUGCAAAAACAAGUUAGACAUCCUCUACUUUGUUGUUGCAAAUUUUACGUGGCUGCUACGGGCUUUAGCAAGAACCGUUCUUACCUGCGCAUAAAAACCACAACGAUAGUUCGUCAAAUUGGUGCUGUUUUAACCUUCGCAAGGACCGGGCGUAGCCACACUCGAUUCAGCUAAAGUGAGAGAGACAGACACCCGCCAGCCACCUUUAAGCACGAGUGCUCCUAAUGGUGAAACCAGUCUCGCGUAAGCGUACGCGUAAUGUCGGUCCGGCCCGCUUCAUCUCACAAUACCGCCGAACCAAAGUAUGACAUGCUGGUAAGCAGUAUGACUUGUAUCACCCACAACUCACUUGUGUUCUACUCGUGCAUAUAACAUCAACGCAUAAAACCUAGGCUCGGAUGCCACUGUUGGGGAACGUAGUAAUUUCAAAAAAAUUCCUACACACACGCAAGAUCAUGGUGAUGACAUAGCAACAAGAGGGGAGAGUGUUGUCCACGUACCCUCUUAGACCGUAAGCGGAAGCGUUAGCACAACGCGGUUGAUGUAGUCGUACGUCUUCAUGAUCCGACCGAUCCAAGCACCGAACGUACGGCACCUCCGAGUUCAGCACACGUUCAGCUCGAUGACGAUCCCCGGGCUUCGAUCCAGCAAAGCUUCGGGGAUGAGUUCCGUCAGCACGACGGCGUGGUGACGAUGAUGAUGUUCUACUGGCGCAGGGCUUCGCCUAAACUCCGCGACGAUAUGACCGAGGUGGAAUAUGGUGGAGGGGGGCACCGCACACGGCUAAGGAACGAUUCGUAGAUCAACUUAUGUGUUAUGGGGUGCCCCCUUGCCCCCGUAUAUAAAGGAGGGAGGGGGAGGUGCGGCCGGCCCCCUUGGGGUGCGCCUGGAGGAGUCCUACUCCCACCGGGAGUAGGACUCCCCCCUCUUGCCUUGGUGGAGAAGGAAAGGGGGGAGGGGAAAGAGGAAAGGGGGGCGUCGCCCCCCUUCCUUGUCCUAUUCGGACUAGAGGGGGAGGGGGCGCGCGGCCUGCCCUGGCCGGCCCUCCUCUUCUCCCUCAUGGCCCACUAAGGCCCAUUAACCCCCGGGAGGGUUCCGGUAACCCCCCGGUGUUCCGGUAAAAUCCCGAUUUCAUCCGGAACCUUUCCGAUGUCCAAACAUAGGCUUCCAAUAUAUCAAUCUUUAUGUCUCGACCAUUUCGAGACUCCUCGUUACGUCCGUGAUCACAUCCGGGACUCCGAACAAACUUCGGUACAUCAAAACUUAUAAACUCAUAAUAAAACUGUCAUCGUAACGUUAAGCGUGCGGACCCUACGGGUUCGAGAACUAUGUAGACAUGACCUAGAACUAUUCUCGGUCAAUAACCAAUAGCGGAACCUGGAUGCCCAUAUUGGUUCCUACAUAUUCUAUGAAGAUCUUUAUCGGUCAAACCGCAUAACAACAUACGUUGUUCCCUUUGUCAUCGGUAUGUUACUUGCCCGAGAUUUGAUCGUCGGUAUCCAAUACCUAGUUCAAUCUCGUUACCAGCAAGUCUCUUUACUCGUUACAUAAUGCAUCAUCGCGUAACCAACUCAUUGGUAACAUUGAUUGCAAGGCUUGUAGUGAUGUGCAUUACCGAGAGGGCCCAGAGAUACCUCUCCGACAAUCGGAGUGACAAAACCUAAUCUCGAAAUAUGCCAACUCAACAUGUACCUUUGGAGACACCUGUAGUGGUCCUUUAUAAUCACCCAGUUACGUUGUGAUGUUUGGUAGCACCCAAAGUGUUUCUCCGAACGGGAGUUGCAUAAUCUCAUAGUUACAGGAACAUGUAUAAGUCAUGAAGAAAGCAAUAGCAACAUACUAAACGAUCAAGUGCUAGGCUAAUGGAAUGGGUCAUGUCAAUCACAUCAUUCUCCUAAUGAUGUGAUCCCGUUAAUCAAAUGACAACUCUUUUGUCCAUGGCUAGGAAACUUAACCAUCUUUGAUUCAACGAGCUAGUCAAGUAGAGGCAUACUAGUGACACUAUGUUUGUCUAUGUAUUCACACAUGUAUUAUGUUUCUGGUUAAUACAAUUCUAGCAUGAAUAAUAAACAUUUAUCAUGAUAUAAGGAAAUAAAUAAUAACUUUAUUAUUGCCUCUAGGGCAUAUUUCCUUCAGUUUAAUCCUGUCCACCUUACUAAUGAACUGGUUCACCGAAAUGAGUUUCAUAUACUAGUACAUGCUAAACUUGUUAUUUGUCUGCUUGUUUCUUGUUUUAGAAUGCUGACAGAAUAUUGGGAAAAGUGCCUUAUUAAGCAAUGGUAUAGGAGGUAAUGCAGAUAAGGUUUAGGAUAGUGACACAUCCUUGUUGGUCUCCAACAAAGCUGAUAAAACAGCUAAGGAAGACUAUCUUGAAGACAGCGAGACAACCCCAAAGUCCUGUCUUGGUUUAGUGUUCGAGUUACUGGCCACUACCGCUUGCACAAGCUAUUCAAACUCACUGUCUGAAUCAGUUCAGUUUCUUGAGUCUCAACUACAAGCUGAAAGACAUCGAUCAGCUGUGGUGCAACAAGAAGCGGAAGGAGUGCGGAAGUCCCUGGAGCAUUCAGAUGCAUACUUUCUGGUGCAACAGCAAGCGUUGGAGGAUUUUAGCGCCAAACAGGACAAAGCUAAUCAGCUUGCUAAGCUUAUUGCCACCAUAGUGGAUACCCAGGAUAACGUUUCUUGAGCUCUUCUGAAGUUGUUUCAGUUAUGCUGUUGUUUUGCUGUCGCGUUUAUUUGCACUGGUGGCCAAUUUUGACGGCCAGUGUAUGUAGUGUGCUGCUUUAUUCCCAAUAUUUGCACUGGUGGCGAACUUUGAUGCCCAGUGGAUGUAAUAUGUGUAAUAGCGGUAAUAGGCUAGCGUUAAUUGCUUGCUUAUUUAUUUCCUUAUUGUCUUGUUUUGUUGUUUGAUUGUAGUCACUGCAGUUCUUUUUCUGUGUUUUUGUAGUGGCCACAAUAGCCUAUUUUUGGUAACUAGGCCAAAAUUAUCAUGGCAACACACGGACUGUUCUAACCAUGGGCCUCCUGCAGGCCGUAUGAUCCAUGGGCCUUCUUCCGACCGUAGGUUCCAUCAGCCUUCUAUACGGGCCUUAGGGUCCAUGGGCCUUCUACGGGCCGUAGGGUCCAUGGGCCUUCUGCGGGCCGCAGGGUCCAUGGGCCUUCUACGGGCCGUACGUUCCAUGGGCCUCAUACGGGCCAUAGGAUCCAUGGGCCUUCUACGGGGCGUAUCAUCAUUUCACCAAUCCUGGGCCGUACUAUUCAUGGACCAUAACGGGCCGUUAAUAGGUCGUAUUUGAUAACUCUAUGAAAACAGCCCAACGGGUUUUUUUUGACAUGAAAACGACCCAACGUAUUAAUGGUCCGCAAAUGGGCCAACUGUAACGACGGGCUGAAUUUGGCCGACAAGCAGAAAAUCACAGUAACGGGCCGUAUGUAACCGAAUGCUGCAAAUGAGCCCAAGAAUCAAUGGGCCCUGAGAAGGCCGAAAGAUAACUUGGGCUGGAAAUGGCCCAAUGGAAUAACGGGUCGUUAAUGGGUAUAACGUGAUACACUGUUCAUUACAGGCCAGUUUCACCACGGGCUGUUAAUGGGCCAAGAUUUACAAAGGGCCUCAUAUGGGCCGAAAGAAGUCAUGGGCCACACAUGGGCCGGAAGUUAAAAUGGGCUGGAAUCAUAUUGGACGGCCCAGAUGAUGCUACUGGGCCUAAUUCGGAUAGGGCGUAACGGGCCCUGGGUUAGCGGGCUGUAAAUGGACUAUAUGCGAACAGGUCGUUAACAGGCUUUCCGUGGGCCGGCCCGCCACCUUUUGACCAAGUCAAACGGGCCGGCCUUUUCACAGGAAUGGGCCUCUGUUGGGCCGUGCCACGUGUUGCCGUAUCAUAGGUGCCUUCGGUCCAAUGAGCGGAUGACAUCUGUCCCAGCGGUGAGCCGACACGUGUUUCCUCCAGCCAAUGAUGAUUUUACACGUUGAAAAUCCCCAUUGGUCGGGGCUGUUAAUGGGUUAAAGGAUCCAAAACCCGACCCGAUAGCUUAACGGCGUUCCGUUACGGUGGAUGCCACAUGUCGGUCACCCUUGAUGAAAGCACUUCUGUGAUGCGCGAUUUAUCGUCAUGGGAGUGGACACUUCCGUGAUGAUAAUUUUGGUAAUGUCAUCGAACACUUCUAUGACAACACAGGUAUGACUAUCUUGAUCCUGUCAUAAAUUUGUCAUGGAUGUACAUGCAUGACAAAAAAUGCGACCUACUAUGACAAACACGUAUCAUCACGGAAGUGUAUUUUUUUGUAGUGGAUGCAGGCAGGAGUUGGUCUACUUGCAUCGAAUGUGAUGCCUAUAUGCAUGAUCAUUGCCAUGAAUCCAUCAUAAUUAUUUGCUUUUCUAUCAAUUGCCCAACAACAAUUUGUUUACCCACCGUAUGUUCUGCAAUCAAGAGAGAAGCAUCUAGUAAAAACUAUGGCCCCUUGGUGUACUUUUAUCAUAUAUAAAAACACAAAAAUACCUAGCUGCAAUUUAUUUACUUUUAUUUUAUUUUGUAUUUUACUUUAUCCAUCUAUCACUAUCAGAAUUAGUCAUUGCAAAUAACCGCUACGAGGAUUGACAAGCCUAUUAUUUGCGUUGGGUGCAAGUGUUUGGUUUUGUGUGUGCAGGUGCUGCUAACAAUGUUUUGUGUGGUUCACCUAAUGGAUUCAUAACCUUGAUUCUUAACUGAGUGAAAUACUUAUUUGUACUAUACUGCAUCAUCCUCUCCUCCUUGGGAAUUAACAACAUAGUCUACAAGUAGCACUCUCCGUUGAAAUGUUAAAUUGUAAUUAGUCCUUACUCCCGAAUUAAUAGUACUUCAAUUUGAAACAAGUUUCGGACAUGUUAAUUAUGUUAUGUUCAUAAUACUACAGUUCAUAUAUAAGUAAACGUCGCAUAACAUUGAGAUUGUAGUUAGGGAUGGAAAUCAAAAUAUGGCAUGAAUGUAACAAUUGCUAGCAAUGUGCUUCAGAAAAGAACUUAUUUGACUUUUAUUCCCAUGUUUGGACUAGUACAGGUCGGGGUUACACAUGAUGGUGCACAUCACUUUCUUUAUCACCGUUACAUUAUGCUCCAUUGACUAACAACGAUGAUUCACCCGUCUAGUAUUACAUCUAUUCAUUUCAUAGGCCACUGAUACUUAUAACGUCGCUCCCAGAUGGUUGUUGUUGUGGAUAUUGUUGGUAUGGGGAAGGUUCUUGUGAUUGCUGGGGUGGGUAUGGUAUUGGAAAUUGUUUUUGGGGGGAUUGUUGUGGUGGUUGCAGGGGGAAUUGUUGUUGGGGGAAUUGUUGUUGUUCAGGGGAUUGUUGUNNNNNNNNNNNNNNNNNNNNNNNNNNNNNNNNNNNNNNNNNNNNNNNNNNNNNNNNNNNNNNNNNNNNNNNNNNNNNNNNNNNNNNNNNNNNNNNNNNNNNNNNNNNNNNNNNNNNNNNNNNNNNNNNNNNNNNNNNNNNNNNNNNNNNNNNNNNNNNNNNNNNNNNNNNNNNNNNNNNNNNNNNNNNNNNNNNNNNNNNNNNNNNNNNNNNNNNNNNNNNNNNNNNNNNNNNNNNNNNNNNNNNNNNNNNNNNNNNNNNNNNNNNNNNNNNNNNNNNNNNNNNNNNNNNNNNNNNNNNNNNNNNNNNNNNNNNNNNNNNNNNNNNNNNNNNNNNNNNNNNNNNNNNNNNNNNNNNNNNNNNNNNNNNNNNNNNNNNNNNNNNNNNNNNNNNNNNNNNNNNNNNNNNNNNNNNNNNNNNNNNNNNNNNNNNNNNNNNNNNNNNNNNNNNNNNNNNNNNNNNNNNNNNNNNNNNNNNNNNNNNNNNNNNNNNNNNNNNNNNNNNNNNNNNNNNNNNNNNNNNNNNNNNNNNNNNNNNNNNNNNNNNNNNNNNNNNNNNNNNNNNNNNNNNNNNNNNNNNNNNNNNNNNNNNNNNNNNNNNNNNNNNNNNNNNNNNNNNNNNNNNNNNNNNNNNNNNNNNNNNNNNNNNNNNNNNNNNNNNNNNNNNNNNNNNNNNNNNNNNNNNNNNNNNNNNNNNNNNNNNNNNNNNNNNNNNNNNNNNNNNNNNNNNNNNNNNNNNNNNNNNNNNNNNNNNNNNNNNNNNNNNNNNNNNGGGGAGUUGUUCUGGUUGCUGGGGGAUUUGAUGUUGUUGGGGGAUUUGUUGUUGGG